rnacentral:rRNA from 1 species
UACAGAGGUCUCAAGCGUUGUUCGGAUUCAUUGGGCGUAAAGGGUGCGUAGGUGGCGGGGUUAGUCAGGUGUGAAAUCUCGGGGCUCAACCCCGAAACUGCACUUGAUACUGCCUUGCUAGAGUACUGGAGAGGAGAUUGGAAUUUACGGUGUAGCAGUGAAAUGCGUAGAUAUCGUAAGGAAGACCAGUGGCGAAGGCGAAUCUCUGGGCAGUAACUGACGCUGAGGAGCGAAAGCGUGGGGAGCGAACAGG